UACGUAGGUGGCAAGCGUUGUCCGGAAUUACUGGGUGUAAAGCGCGUGUAGGCGGCAGGCCAAGUCUGCGGUGAAAGCGCCCGGCUCAACUGGGCGAGGUCCGUGGAAACUGGUCAGCUGGAGGACGGUAGAGGCGAGUGGAAUUUCCGGUGUAGCGGUGAAAUGCGUAGAUAUCGGAAGGAACACCAGUGGCGAAAGCGGCUUCCUGGUCCAGCACCGACGUCAGGCACGAAAGCGUGGGGAGCAAACAGG
rnacentral:rRNA from 1 species